rnacentral:rRNA from 1 species
GACGAACGCUGGCGGCGUGCUUAACACAUGCAAGUCGAACGGAAAGGCCCUGCUUUUGUGGGGUGCUCGAGUGGCGAACGGGUGAGUAACACGUGAGUAACCUGCCCUUGACUUUGGGAUAACUUCAGGAAACUGGGGCUAAUACCGGAUAGGAGCUCCUGCUGCAUGGUGGGGGUUGGAAAGUUUCGGCGGUUGGGGAUGGACUCGCGGCUUAUCAGCUUGUUGGUGGGGUAGUGGCUUACCAAGGCUUUGACGGGUAGCCGGCCUGAGAGGGUGACCGGCCACAUUGGGACUGAGAUAAGGCCCAGACUCCUACGGGAGGCAGCAGUGGGGAAUAUUGCACAAUGGGCGGAAGCCUGAUGCAGCAACGCCGCGUGCGGGAUGACGGCCUUCGGGUUGUAAACCGCUGUCGCCUGUGACGAAGCGUGAGUGACGGUAAUGGGUAAAGAAGCACCGGCUAACUACGUG